GUACUGUGCGAACGUUGUUCGGAAUUACUGGGCUUAAAGGGUGCGUAGGCGGUCAGUCGAGUCGGGGUGUGAAAUCCCUCGGGCUCAACCGAGGAACUGCGCCCGAAACUAAUUGGCUUGAGUGAGAUAGGGGUGUGCGGAACUUCCAGUGGAGCGGUGAAAUGUGUUGAUAUUGGAAGGAACACCGGUGGCGAAAGCGGCACACUGGGUCUCAACUGACGCUGAGGCACGAAAGCCAGGGGAGCGAACGGGAUUAGAUACCCCGGUAGUCCUGGCUGUAAACGUUGAGCACUAGACGGGAGGAGCUUCGGCUCAUCCGGUCGUAGCGAAAGCGAUAAGUGCUCCGCCUGGGGAGUAUGGUCGCAAGGCUG
rnacentral:rRNA from 1 species